UCUGGAAACCUGGACCUGGAGGCCUUUAUCCAGCUGGCUGCCAAGAUUGGGCUGUAUGUGAUUCUGCGACCAGGGCCCUACAUCUGUAGUGAGAUUGACCUCGGGGGCUUGCCCAGCUGGCUCCUCCAAGACCCUGACAUGAAGCUGAGAACAACUUACCAUGGCUUCACUAAAGCAGUGGACCUUUACUUUGACCACCUGAUGUCCAGGGUGGUGCCA